rnacentral:rRNA from 1 species
AACGUAGGUGGCGAGCGUUAUCCGGAUUUACUGGGCGUAAAGGGUGUGCAGGCGGGCUGUUAAGUGGUGCAUGAAAUCUCCGCGCUUAACGUGGAGAGGCUGUGCCAGACUGGCAGUCUAGGGUACGAGAGAGGGUUGUGGAAUUCCGGGUGUAGUGGUGAAAUGCGUAGAGAUCCGGAGGAACACCAGAGGCGAAGGCGACGUCCUGGGCUUGACCUGACGCUGAGACGCGACAGCACGGGGAGCGAACGGG